GCAUCUGUAGCUCAGUUGGAUAGAGCACCGGCUUCCGAAGCCGGGUGUCGUAGGUUCGAAUCCUAUCAGGUGCA
rnacentral:tRNA from 1 species